rnacentral:rRNA from 1 species
GAUGAACGCUGGCGGCGUGCCUAAUAUCUGCAAGUCGAGCGAACAGACGAGGAGCUUGCUCCUCUGACGUUAGCUGCGGACGUGUGAGUAACACGUGGAUAACCUACCUAUAAGACUGGGAUAACCUCGGGAAACCGGAGCUAAUACCGUAUAAUAUAUUGAACCGCCUGGUUCAAUAGUGCACGACGGUUUUGCUGUCACUUUUAGAUGAAUCCGCGCCGCAUUAGCUAGUUGGUAAGGUAACGGCUUACCAAGGCAACGAUGCGUAGCCGACCUGAGAGGGUGAUCGGUCACACUAGAUCUGAGACACGGUCCAGAGUCGCUGGGGAUGCAGACGUAUGGAAUCUUCCGCACUGGGCGAAAGCCUGACGGAGCACCGCCCCGUGAGUGAUCAGGGUCUUCGGAUCGUAAAACUCUGUUCUGAGGGAAGAACAAAUGUGUAAGUAACUAUGCACGUCUUGACGGUACCUAAUCAGAAAGCCACGGCUAAAUACGUG